AUGCAUGUCUAAGUAUAAGCAAUCUAUACGGUGAAACUGCGAAUGGCUCAUUAAAUCAGUUAUCGUUUAUUUGAUAGUACCUUACUACAUGGAUACCCGUGGUAAUUCUAGAGCUAAUACAUGCUAAAAACCUCGACUUCGGAAGGGGUGUAUUUAUUAGAUAAAAAACCAAUGCCCUUCGGGGCUCGUUGGUGAUUCAUAAUAACUUCUCGAAUCGCAUGGCCUUGCGCCGGCGAUGGUUCAUUCAAAUUUCUGCCCUAUCAACUUUCGAUGGUAGGAUAGUGGCCUACCAUGGUGGCAACGGGUAACGGGGAAUUAGGGUUCGAUUCCGGAGAGGGAGCCUGAGAAACGGCUACCACAUCCAAGGAAGGCAGCAGGCGCGCAAAUUACCCAAUCCCGAUACGGGGAGGUAGUGACAAUAAAUACUGAUGCAGGGCUCGUUUGGGUCUUGCAAUUGGAAUGAGAACAAUCUAAAUCCCUUAACGAGGAACAAUUGGAGGGCAAGUCUGGUGCCAGCAGCCGCGGUAAUUCCAGCUCCAAUAGCGUAUAUUAAAGUUGUUGCAGUUAAAAAGCUCGUAGUUGAACCUUGGGUCUGGCUGGCCGGUCCGCCUCACGGCGUGCACUGGUCCGGCUGGAUCUUUCCUUCUGGGGAGCCCCAUGGCCUUCACUGGCUGUGGGGGGAACCAGGACUUUUACUGUGAAAAAAUUAGAGUGUUCAAAGCAGGCCUUUGCUCGGAUACAUUAGCAUGGAAUAAUAGAAUAGGACGUGCGGUUCUAUUUUGUUGGUUUCUAGGACCGCCGUAAUGAUUAAUAGGGAUGGUCGGGGGCGUCAGUAUUCGGCUGUCAGAGGUGAAAUUCUUGGAUUUGCCGAAGACUAACUACUGCGAAAGCAUUCGCCAAGGAUGUUUUCAUUAAUCAGGGAACGAAAGUUAGGGGAUCGAAGACGAUCAGAUACCGUCGUAGUCUUAACCAUAAACUAUG
rnacentral:rRNA from 1 species